AUGCCCAUAGAAGAGAUAGUGGUUUGGAUAAGAUUAGAAGCCGGUGACCAUAUUUGUCCACAAAAGAGACAAUGUGCUAGCAUCUGGCUCAAGUUAAAGAAUUUUUUUAUUCCUUGGAUGCAAAUUAUAUUUUAUUCGGAAGCAGAUUCUAAUAUCUCUAGAAGCAAUGUCUUAUUGAUGGAAACAAAUAUUUUUUUUCUGUUGGGAGCAAUUCCAUGUUACACUUAUACAAUUUUUGGUUGUCGUAUUGUGUGUAGCAAAAAAAUACACUGGUAUAUUGUACAUGUUUUUUCACUAGAUCGAAGCAAUCAUCCGCUGGCAUGA
rnacentral:rRNA from 1 species